UUCCUCCACCUUGAGCCAUGCAGUGUGCAGUGCCCUGCCCAGAAUGGUGCCGAAUACUUAGUCUACAUGUAUUCGGCACCUUCUGGGUAGCGUAAUGCUCAACACGAACGCUGUUCUUGUUGGCCUUAUGACCGG